rnacentral:tRNA from 1 species
GGGGGUUUCGCUCAGUGGUAGAGCACUUGCCUAGCAAGCACAAGGCCCUGGGUUCAGUCCCCAGCUCCG